GACGAACCGAGCGAACGUUGUUCGGAAUCACUGGGCUUAAAGGGCGCGUAGGCGGGCUGUCAAGUCUGGGGUGAAAUCCCACGGCUCAACCGUGGAACUGCCUCAGAUACUGACGGCCUCGAGGAAGGUAGGGGCGAGCGGAACUAAUGGUGGAGCGGUGAAAUGCGUUGAUAUCAUUAGGAACUCCGGUGGCGAAGGCGGCUCGCUGGACCUUUUCUGACGCUGAGGCGCGAAAGCUAGGGGAGCAAACGGG
rnacentral:rRNA from 1 species